rnacentral:pre_miRNA from 1 species
ACCUAUAUUUGGGACAGCUCUCAUGGAACUCUUGAUAUCAUAGAAAGAUGUUCUUAAUGUAGGUUUC